CUAAAGUAUCCAACAGAGAAACGUGUGACCGCGCGUUGCCGACUCUGCUGGAGGACGAGCACAGUGUGACGAGCGGAGAGCAGUGCGAUGCAGCGGCUCACAUCAGGGCUUCCACUGUGACAGCAUCAUUGUCUCUGAUGAGGACUGCACUCCAGAGCCGAGCACAGACCGGGACAAGACCGGGAUCGAGGUGAAGUAGAGGAGGGAGGGCAGCCAGGGUCCGUGGAAGAAGAGGCAGGACGGGAAGGACGAGGUGCAAGCCGAGCAGCACAUACCUGCGUCGAGCUUCACACUCUAACAACGGCAUAUGAACAGACCAGAAUCUGAGCACUGUUGACAACAUCCAGACUACUGGGUUUCCAUGCACCACACAUGGCUGAUCUUCCAGACCCAGGACAGAGUAACAGACAGUUCAGUCAGGCAGCAUACAGACAGGUUGUAGUGUGGCAGUGUGGA